rnacentral:rRNA from 1 species
UACGGAGGGGGCUAGCGUUGUUCGGAAUUACUAGGCGUAAAGCGCGCGUAGGCGGCUUUGCAAGUUAGAGGUGAAAGCCCGAAGCUCAACUUCGGAAUUGCCUUUAAAACUGCGAGGCUAGAAUUGUGGAGAGGUAAGUGGAAUUCCGAGUGUAGAGGUGAAAUUCGUAGAUAUUCGGAAGAACACCAGUGGCGAAGGCGACUUACUGGACACAUAUUGACGCUGAGGUGCGAAAGCGUGGGGAGCAAACAGG